AUUGAACGCUGGCGGCAGGCCUAACACAUGCAAGUCGAACGAGUGGCGGACGGGUGAGUAAUGUCUGGGCCCCUGCCCGAUGGAGGGGGAUAACUACUGGAAACGGUAGCUAAUACCGCAUACCAUCGGAUGUGCCCAGAUGGGAUUAGCUAGUAGGUGGGGUAACGGCUCACCUAGGCGACGAUCCCUAGCUGGUCUGAGAGGAUGACCAGCCACACGGGAACUGAGACACGGGCCAGAGUCCGACGGGAGGCAGCAGUGGGGAAUAGUGCACAAGGGGCGCAAGCCUGAUGCAGCCAUGCCGCGUGUAUGAAGAAGGCCUUCGGGUUGUAAAGUACGUUCAGCGAGGAGGCGGUACUCGCAGAAGAAGCACCGGCUAACUCCGUGCCAGCAGCCGCGGUAAUAC
rnacentral:rRNA from 1 species